rnacentral:RNase_P_RNA from 1 species
GAAGUUCGCCAGGCAGUCGCCGCGCAUAUCGUUGCGCGGAGGAAAGUCCGGGCCCCGCAGAGCAGGAUGCCGGCUAACGGCCGGGCGCCGCAAGGCGACGGAAAGUGCAACAGAAAACAAACCGCCGAUGGCCCGCACAACGCGGGAUCAGGCAAGGGUGAAAUGGCGGGGUAAAAGCCCACCGCGGGACCGGCGACGGGACCGGCACGGCAAACCCCAUCCGGGGCAAGGCCAAAUAGGGGGGCAUGGCGUGGCUCGCGCCGCCUCCGGGUAGGCCGCUGGAGCGCCGCGGCAACGCGGCGCCAAGAUGAAUGAUUGCCCGGUGUCCUUCGGGACAUUCGACAGAACCCGGCUUACCGGCGAACUUCCCGC